rnacentral:rRNA from 1 species
UGGGGAAUAUUGCACAAUGGAGGGAACUCUGAUGCAGCGACGCCGCGUUAACGAAGAAGGCUUUCGAGUCGUAAAGUUCUUUUAUAUGGGAAGAUAAUGACGGUACCAUAAGAAAAAGCCCCGGCUAACUACGUGCCAGCAGCCGCGGUAAUACGUAGGGGGCUAGCGUUGUCCGGAAUCACUGGGCGUAAAGGGUUCGCAGGCGGAAAUGCAAGUCAGGUGUAAAAGGCAGUAGCUUAACUACUGUAAGCAUUUGAAACUGCAUAUCUAGAAAAGAGGAGAGGUAAGUGGAAUUUUUAGUGUAGCGGUGAAAUGCGUAGAUAUUAAAAAGAAUACCGGUGGCGAAGGCGACUUACUGGGCUCAUUCUGACGCUGAGGAACGAAAGCGUGGGUAGCAAACAGG